rnacentral:rRNA from 1 species
GACGAACGCUGGCGGCGUGCUUAACACAUACAAGUCGAACGAUGAAGCUGGAGCUUGCUCCGGUGGAUUAGUGGCGAACGGGUGAGUAACACGUGAGAAAUCUGCCCUUGACUCUGGGAUAACUGCGGGAAACUGUAGCUAAUACCGGAUAUUUUCCUUGGUGGGCAUCCACUGGGGAAGAAAGAAUUUCGGUCAAGGAUGAUCUCGCGGCCCAUCAGCUAGUUGGUGAGGUAAUGGCUCACCAAGGCGACGACGGGUAGCCGGCCUGAGAGGGUGACCGGCCACACUGGGACUGAGACACGGCCCAGACUCCUACGGGAGGCAGCAGUGGGGAAUAUUGCACAAUGGGCGCAAGCCUGAUGCAGCAACGCCGCGUGAGGGAUGAAGGCCUUCGGGUUGUAAACCUCUUUUAGCAGGGAAGAAGCGAAAGUGACGGUACCUGCAGAAAAAGCACCGGCUAACUACGUGCCAGCAGCCGCGGUAA